GCUGAGACUAGAGUCACAUCCCAAUACAGCCCUUGUCUUGGUGUGCUAGAGUCCUCAGAGAGAAUCUGUUGCUCUUGAUUCACUGGUGGGGGGUGGGGGGCACUCAGUGCCCCUGUUAGUGCCCAGAUCAGAAAUAUGG